rnacentral:rRNA from 1 species
ACGGGUGAGUAACGCGUGGGUAACCUGCCUUAUACAGGGGGAUAACAGUCAGAAAUGGCUGCUAAUACCGCAUAAGCGCACAGAGCUGCAUGGCUCAGUGUGAAAAACUACCGGUGGUAUAAGAUGGACCCGCGUUGGAUUAGCUUGUUGGUGGGGUAACGGCCCACCAAGGCGACGAUCCAUAGCCGGCCUGAGAGGGUGAACGGCCACAUUGGGACUGAGACACGGCCCAGACUCCUACGGGAGGCAGCAUG